rnacentral:rRNA from 1 species
GUGGGGAAUCUUAGACAAUGGGCGCAAGCCUGAUCUAGCCAUGCCGCGUGAGUGAUGAAGGCCCUAGGGUUGUAAAGCUCUUUCAGCUGGGAAGAUAAUGACGGUACCAGCAGAAGAAGCCCCGGCUAACUCCGUGCCAGCAGCCGCGGUAAUACGGAGGGGGCUAGCGUUGUUCGGAAUUACUGGGCGUAAAGCGCGCGUAGGCGGACUGAAAAGUUGGGGGUGAAAUCCCGGGGCUCAACCUCGGAACUGCCUUCAAAACUAUCAGUCUGGAGUUCGAGAGAGGUGAGUGGAAUUCCGAGUGUAGAGGUGAAAUUCGUAGAUAUUCGGAGGAACACCAGUGGCGAAGGCGGCUCACUGGCUCGAUACUGACGCUGAGGUGCGAAAGCGUGGGGAGCAAACAGGAUUAGAAACCCGGGUAGUCC